rnacentral:rRNA from 1 species
UACGUAGGUGACAAGCGUUGUCCGGAUUUACUGGGCGUAAAGAGCGCGCAGGCGGUCGUUCAAGUCGAGUGUGAAAGCCCCCGGCUCAACUGGGGAGGGUCACUCGAUACUGAUCGACUCGAAGGCAGGAGAGGGUAGUGGAAUUCCCGGUGUAGUGGUGAAAUGCGUAGAUAUCGGGAGGAACACCAGUGGCGAAGGCGGCUACCUGGACCGGUUCUGACGCUGAGGCGCGAAAGCGUGGGUAGCAAACAGG